rnacentral:rRNA from 1 species
UCGAACGCGAAAGGCCCCUUCGGGGGCCGAGUAGAGUGGCGCACGGGUGAGUAACACGUAGGUAAUCUACCUCUGGGUGGGGAAUAACAGCCGGAAACGGCUGCUAAUACCGCAUAAUGCAGCGGCACCACAUGGUGACAGUUGUUAAAGCGGGGGAUCGUAAGACCUCGCGCCUAGAGAUGAGCCUGCGGCGGAUUAGCUAGUUGGCAGGGUAACGGCCUACCAAGGCAACGAUCCGUAGCCGGCCUGAGAGGGCGGACGGCCACACUGGCACUGACAUACGGGCCAGACUCCUACGGGAGGCAGCAGUCGGGAAUUUUGGGCAAUGGGCGAAAGCCUGACCCAGCAACGCCGCGUGAAGGAUGAAGCUUUUCGGAGUGUAAACUUCAUAAGAAUGGGACGAAUAAGGAGGGGUUAACACCCCCUUUGAUGACGGUACCAUUUGUAAGCUCCGGCUAACUCCGUGCCAGCAGCCGCGGUAAUACGGGGGGAGCAAGCGUUGUUCGGAUUACUGGGCGUAAAGGGCGCGUAGGCGGCGCAACAAGUCACUUGUGAAAUCUCCGGGCUUAACCCGGAGCGGCCAAGUGAUACUGUCGUGCUAGAGUGCGGAAGGGGCUACUGGAAUUCUCGGUGUAGCGGUGAAAUGCGUAGAUAUCGAGAGGAACACCUGCGGCGAAGGCGGGUAGCUGGGCCGACACUGACGCUGAGGCGCGAAAGCCAGGGGAGCGAACGGGAUUAGAUACCCCCGGUAGUCCUGGCCUUAAACGAUGG